GUAUUGGCCUACCGUGGCAAUGACGGGUAACGGGGAAUUAGGGUUCGAUUCCGGAGAGGGAGCCUGAGAAACGGCUACCACAUCUAAGGAAGGCAGCAGGCGCGCAAAUUACCCAAUCCUAAUACAGGGAGGUAGUGACAAGAAAUAACAAUACAGGACUUUUUGGUUUUGUAAUUGGAAUGAGUUAAGUAUAAACCCCUUUACAAGUAUCAAUUGGAGGGCAAGUCUGGUGCCAGCAGCCGCGGUAAUUCCAGCUCCAAUAGCGUAUAUUAAAGUUGUUGCAGUUAAAAAGCUCGUAGUUGGAUUUCUGUUAAUAAUUUAUAUAAAAUACUUAGGUGUUUAUAUAAUAUUAACAUAAUUCAUAUUACUAUAUUUUUUUAGUAUAUGAAAUUUUACUUUGAGAAAAUUAGAGUGCUUAAAGCAGGCGUUAGCCUUGAAUACUCCAGCAUGGAAUAAUAUUAAAGAUUUUUAUCUUUCUUAUUGGUUCUAAGAUAAGAAUAAUGAUUAAUAGGGACAGUUGGGGGCAUUUGUAUUUAA
rnacentral:rRNA from 1 species